rnacentral:rRNA from 1 species
UUAAAGUUGUUGCAGUUAAAAGGCUCGUAGUUGAACCUUGGGCCUGGCUGGCCGGUCCGCCUCACCGCGUGUACUGGUCCGGCCGGGCCUUUCCUUCUGGAGAACCGCAUGCCCUUCACUGGGUGUGUCGGGGAACCAGGACUUUUACUUUGAGAAAAUUAGAGUGUUCAAAGCAGGCCUUUGCUCGAAUACGUUAGCAUGGAAUAAUA